GUUCACUACUUCCUAGGACCCAUGGGGGGCUCUGGUCUAAAAGCAGUGUCCUACAUAGGUUCACUACUUCCUAGGACCCAUGGGGGGCUCUGGUCUAAAAGCAGUGUCCUACAUAGGUUCACUACUUCCUAGGACCCAUGGGGGCUCUGGUCUAAAAGCAGUGUCCUACAUAGGUUCACUACUUCCUAGGACCCAUGGGGGGCUCUGGUCUAAAAGCAGUGUCCUACAUAGGUUCACUACUUCCUAGGACCCAUGGGGGCUCUGGUCUAAAAGCAGUGUCCUACAUAGGUUCACUACUUCCUAGGACCCAUGGGGGGCUCUGGUCUAAAAGCAGUGUCCUACAUAGGUUCACUACUUCCUAGGACCCAUGGGGGCUCUGGUCUAAAAGCAGUGUCCUACAUAGGUUCACUACUUCCUAGGACCCAUGGGGGGCUCUGGUCUAAAAGCAGUGUCCUACAUAGGUUCACUACUUCCUAGGACCCAUGGGGGGCUCUGGUCUAAAAGCAGUGUCCUACAUAGGUUCACUACUUCCUAGGACCCAU